CCUGGGACUUGGGCUGGAACUACUGGGAAGUUGGGGGCUCUUUUUUGCUGGAGUUGCUGAACUGGGACGUCUACUAUUGCUCCCCUACCUGGGGAAGACGAUGUGCUUGAAAAGGAAGCAAAUAGAAAAUACAAAAUUUUUCUUAAUUUUUUAAAAAAGCAAAAAUAAAUUUAAAAAUUAAUUUAAAAAAGAAGAAAAGGAAGGAAAUAUGGAGAAACCCUGGCAGGGGAGGACUGCAGGACCCAGAAAGAUGUGCCUCUGCUUUGGAAGGUCGGGUGGGCUGUGCUGCACAGCAGUGUCAAGUCCUAGCCUGUGUUGGGCCAAGAGGGGGCCGCAGCUGGCCUGCUGUUUCCAUCUGUGUGGCUCUGACAACCGCCAGCAUGUGAUGUAUUGCUAGGCCCAGGGCGCAGGUGAUGAAUGUCCGGGGCAGGUCAGUGGUCACAGCAGCUGUUUAAAGAGGCACCUCACGCACCUUGCAGCCUGCAGCCAAGGGCUGAGGCCAGUUUCAUUUGGGGCAAGCUACUAACCUUGUGGGGCCUUACUUAUCAGGCUUCUAAUCUCCCAGCUCCAGGGAAACUUUCCUCUGCGCACCAGGGGCCAUUUCUCUUCUCUAAACGAGGGUGAUGGCAGUUUGCUGGGGUUGCUGUGAGGACUGUGCAGGCCGGUGCUGUGUCUGAGGGAGUCAGCAACUUUCCUGCAAAGGGCAGAACCGUCUUUCCCUUGGUGACUCGGAUACCAGCUGGGGAGCCUCUCAACUCACCACCUGAAUCACAUCUCGGCCACAGUGGGGCCUGUCAGUGGCAGGAACCCUGGAGACAAAGGCUGCCUGCUAUAGGGGUAGGGGGAGGCCAGCUGAGCCUCUGGGACGUUUCCCUCCCCCAAGGACCCCCCCCCCGACUCCCCACUUAAUGCACUUCAUUCUUUUGGGGCCACUGAUUUAUUAAAAGGUCACCUAGAAGGUGGGCCCUCUGACAAACCGCAGGAGCUGCCACCUGCUGUGCCAGGGACCGUGAUCAGGCUUGCCAACUCACCACCCUGCUGGCUUGGCUCCAAGGCAGCCACCCCUUCCCACAGAGAGUGAGGCUGGAGGCAGCCAGGUUCCCCAA